AACGAACGCUGGCGGCAGGCUUAACACAUGCAAGUCGAACGCUUCACCCUCGGGUGGAGAGUGGCAGACGGGUGAGUAACACGUGGGAACGUACCCUUUGGUUCGGAAUAACUCAGGGAAACUUGAGCUAAUACCGGAUACGCCCUUAUGGGGAAAGGUUUACUGCCGAAGGAUCGGCCCGCGUCCGAUUAGCUUGUUGGUGAGGUAAUGGCUCACCAAGGCAUCGAUCGGUAGCUGGUCUGAGAGGAUGGCCAGCCACAUCGGGACUGAGACACGGCCCAAACUCCUACGGGAGGCAGCAGUGGGGAAUAUUGGACAAUGGGCGCAAGCCUGAUCCAGCCAUGCCGCGUGAGUGAUGAAGGCCUUAGGGUUGUAAAGCUCUUUUACCUGGGAAGAUCAUGACGGUACCAGGAGAAUAAGCCCCGGCUAACUUCGUGCCAGCAGCCGCCGUAAU
rnacentral:rRNA from 1 species